rnacentral:rRNA from 1 species
UACGGAGGGUGCAAGCGUUGUUCGGAAUCACUGGGCGUAAAGCGCGUGUAGGCGGCCUUCUUAGUCUGGUGUGAAAGCCCGGGGCUCACCCCCGGAAGUGCAUUGGAUACUGGAAGGCUGGAGUACCGGAGAGGAGGGUGGAAUUCCUGGUGUAGCGGUGAAAUGCGUAGAUAUCAGGAGGAACACCGAUGGCGAAGGCAGGUCUCUGGGCCACUACUGACGCUGAGAAGCGAAAGCAUGGGGAGCGAACAGG